rnacentral:lncRNA from 1 species
GGGGUAUCAUCGGAUGGGGCCACAGUGUCUUCUGAUCCCUCCUGUCUCAGCCUCCAGUAUUUAUGCUGCAGUAGUUUAUGUGUCGGGGGGCUAGGGUCAGUCUGUUACAUCUGGAGUAUUUCUCUUGUCUUAUCCGGUGUCCUGUGUGGAUUUAAAUAUGCUCUCUCUAAUUCUCUCUUUCUCUCUUUCUGUCUUUCUCUCGGAGGACCUGAGCCCUAGGACCAUGCCUCAGGACUACCUGGACCUGAGCCCUAGGACCAUGCCUCAGGACUACCUGGUAUGAUGACUCCUUGCUGUCCCCAGUCCACCUGGCCGUGCUGCUGCUCCAGUUUCAACUGUUCUGCCUGCGGCUAUGGAACCCUGACCUGUUCACCGGACGUGCUUGUUGCACCCUCGACAACUAUUAUGAUUAUUAUUAUUUGACCAUGCUGGUCAUUUAUGAACAUUUUAACAUCUUGACCAUGUUCUGUUAUAAUAUCCACCCUGCACAGCCAGAAGAGGACUGGCCACCCCUCAUAGCCUGG